UCGCCCAAUCGGAAUGAAGGGAGGGCGGGAUCAGUGAAAACCACGUGAUCAUCCACGAGUGCGGUGCAGAGUCGCUGAGAUAACCGGAACUGCAGAUGCUGGAGAAUCCGAGAUAACACGGUGUGCAGCUGGAUGUACACAGCAGGUCAAGCAGCAUCAGAGGAGCAGGAAAGCUGACGUUUCGGGCCUAGAUCCUUCGCUGAGACCAAGAUUUGUGCAAUUGAGAUACCAGCGAUCGUUGCCAAAGCCCUGUUACCUGUGGAGAAGGUGAUGUUUAACUUUCGUGUGCUGCUGCAGUUUGUAUGAUAAAGGAUAUUACAAGUGGACUUUCAGGUAGGAAGCUCAAUUGUAACACCAAACUCUGACAGAAUUACUCAAUUCAUCAGGACCUGGAUAUUCCCAUUGUGUAUUUCCACAAUUUUACUUCUGCACUAUUCUUAGUCUUUCAGAGGGAUCGAAAGGUUGAGUUACAGAUCUAUACAAUGACUGUCCUUCCUCGCUGGCUCCCCCACCUCUCUCUUUUGGUAGUUUUAUGCAAACACUGACUGGAUCCCUUACCUGGAGGAUAUUUAUGAAUGAAUUUGUUCUAAUGGUGAUCCAGCAUUUUCCCCAAGUAUCGCUCCACACAUGCCCAGAGAAUUUCUCAGUUUCACAAUCUGUGUCCUUCUGGUUUCUUACUCGCUACGCUUAACUUUCUGUUUGAAAGUAUAGUCUGCAGUUGGAGAAUUUAAACAGGUCCACAUCCAGGUCUGACAGUCACUUUGUUUAUCACAACCCAAUUAUCUCAGGAUUUUGAACAAUGAAGGAAAAAGCAGCACUCACAUUGGGGAGAAAUGCACAUGGUGUGUGUGUUGAAGAGUCUGUGAAGAUUCAUCUGAAAUGUCCGAACACCAGUGCAGUGACACUGGGAGACAGUGUGGAAAUGUGCAGAUUGCAGGAAGGAAUUUCUUCAUCCAUCCCAGCUAGAAACUGACCACCAGAGUCACACUGGAGAGAGACCAUUGACCUGUUCUGCAUGAGGGAAAGGCUUUGCUGAUUCGAAUUCCCCGCUGAUACAUCAGCGAGUUCACUCUGGGGAGAGACCUUUCAUGAGCUCUGAGUGUGGGAAGGGAUUCAUUGUCAUCCAAACUGUUAACACACCAGUGAGUUCACAGACAACCACAGUUGAAGAACUUUGCUGUCACUCUCACUAUCAAAUGAACCAUGGUUUUGGGCUGUUUGUACAGAUGUUACCGAUCCCUGCUCAAUUAAAGGUGCUGGUAUUGUGAAUAAAAUGUCACACUAA